GACGAACGCUGGCGGCGUGCUUAACACAUGCAAGUCGAACGGAAAGGCCCUGCUUUUGUGGGGUGCUCGAGUGGCGAACGGGUGAGUAACACGUGAGUAACCUGCCCUUGACUUUGGGAUAACUUCAGGAAACUGGGGCUAAUACCGGAUAGGAGCUCCUGCUGCAUGGUGGGGGUUGGAAAGUUUCGGCGGUUGGGGAUGGACUCGCGGCUUAUCAGCUUGUUGGUGGGGUAGUGGCUUACCAAGGCUUUGACGGGUAGCCGGCCUGAGAGGGUGACCGGCCACAUUGGGACUGAGAUACGGCCCAGACUCCUACGGGAGGCAGCAGUGGGGAAUAUUGCACAAUGGGCGGGAGCCUGAUGCAGCAACGCCGCGUGCGGGAUGACGGCCUUCGGGUUGUAAACCGCUUUCGCCUGUGACGAAGCGUGAGUGACGGUAAUGGGUAAAGAAGCACCAGCUAACUACGUG
rnacentral:rRNA from 1 species